UUCAGUUUCCCGGGGUGCUCUCCCGCUAAUGGCAGGAUUGCUGAGAACAGACCCGUAGAACCUGAUCAGGGUAAUGCCUGCGCAGGGAAGGUAGCUCCGUAUUUGU
rnacentral:ncRNA from 2 species